UAAAUUUCAUUUUCUUGUCUCUCUCGCCUGCAGUGUGUGUGCGCGCGCGCGAGGCGAGGAGAGAGGCGCGUGUGCGAGUGAGUGUGCUAGCGGGGGUGCGCGUGUGAGUGUGCGCGUGUGUGUGCGUGCGCGUGGCACCGGCGCCCGCGGCUACGGGGCUGGCGCUGCCGGAGCCGGGCCGGACCGGGGUCCGAGAUCUGCGUCGCGCUGGGCACGCUGGCCACCCGGUCCGGAAUGAGUCGGGGCUCCGGGAGGUGCCCGUGGGCAGAGCGUUAGGGGCGCGGCCGUGCCGGACCCGCCCUGGGGACCCGCUGGAGCUGGAGGAGGAACUAACUAGCCAGCUUCCGUUCCUCAGCCUUUCUUCUCUAAACACCAAGUUCCACCAUUGACAGAACACUGAGUCCUGCACAGUCACAUGGACACGAGUAAGGAGAGUUCAGAGGCUGCAGUGGAGUUCCACACGAAGCACAGGAGGUGAAACCCCUUUUUCCUGGCUCCUCAGGAGACAUGUGAAGACAACGCGAUUAGAGGUCCUUCAGGCACGGAUAGGAUGGCUUGGCAUCUUCUUCCGAGCAAGCGCAGCUCUCAGGCCGGGCCUGAGCCUGCAGCCUGUGUGCCCUCCAUCAUCAGGGCCCCCUCUCAGGACAGGCUACACCGAGGGUGGGACGGCGGACUUCCAGGGACACUUCCAAGUCGUGCCCAUGCAGAUACCUCAGUAUACACUGCCCACAGUUAAGAAACCACGACCUGAGACAUUGUUUUGAAGAGGUGAAAAUGCCUCCACUCAAGUGGCCCAGGAGCGUGAUCCAGGAAGACGAACACACAGAACCAUCUUCUGCAUGGUUUGAAAAUUCAGUGGAAACUAGUAAUGCCUAUGCGGGUUCACUGAUGAGAGGGCCCUAUGAGCCAUCCAGAGAAAAGCUGCCAUAUUUCCCUUCCAGAAGACCUGCUUGCAGGCCUUGAAUUUUGAGAGUGUGGGGAAAGCAGUCAAGCCCGCGCGGAGCGAUUGUGAGGGGCUCUGCUGGAAUUUGGCAGCGCGGAGGCUUGGAGAGAAGCCCCAUGCUGGCUCCCAUUCAGCCGGCCCGUUUUCCUCGAGCUUUGGAAGUUUCACUCAGCCGUGCACUCAAUGGCUUCACAAAGCUGAUUACAAGCUUCAGCGCAUUCCUGAAGGAGCCAAAAGCGACGCAGGUGCAAACGAGCCGAGGGAGCCCCUUAUCCCGUCUCCAUCACAAUCACUUAUCUGGAAACCUGCGGUUGGAUUAAUCGUUAUAUUCCCGAGAUGAGCGUCGCUGCAAUCCGCAGCGAACGCGGGUAGGGACCUGGAGACGCCUCCCGGGCGCUGGCGGGGCCGGUGUGGGCCAGCUCCGCUACCGCCUGAGACGCGGUGUGCCCAGGUGUUGGUGCCCGCGGGAGAGGGCUGUGGGGCGCCUUCCCCAGGAUUUGCUUGACUUGCUUUUCGCUCGAGUGGGUGGUGCGCGGGUGCGGGAGGCGGAGGGAGGAGGAGGGGUGAGGGGAGGAGGGCCUGUGGGGCUGCGGACCCGGAGCAGCCUGGGUGGAGCGCGGCCUCGGGAGGCCCUGGGUGCAUCGCGGCGGGGCCUGGGGGGGCCCAGGCGCCGGAGGAGCCGUCGGUGCCGGAAUGCAGCGUGUUUCACUUGGGAGAAACGUUGCCCUCGGUCCCUUGCCUCCCUCCUGUUGUCUCGGUUUUUCUGGCUUCGUCCUUCGUCCCACCCACCCGUUCCCACCUCAGGUCCCUCCCCCAGGAUCCCCUCCUUAAGGAUCCAGGUCUCUGAAAAUUAUUGGCAACAGUUACACGCCCCACGAUUGAAAUCCACAAGAGAAGAGUCCCAGUUCUGCAGGCCGCUCCAGGGCUAGGGGUAGAGAUGGUGGCAGGUGGUGCGUCAACUCUCUAGGGAAGAGGAACUUGCAUUACAAAGACUUGUCUUUCUGAGCUGAAGUCAAAACGGGGGCGUCAAGCGCGCUCCGUUUGGCGGCGGUGGAGGGGCCGCGCGCCCGCGCUGUCCCAGCCGGAGCUGCCCUGGCUGGUGAUUGGAGGUUUAACGUCCGGAAUUCAGGCGCUUCUGCAGCUCAGAUUUGCCGGCCAAGGGGCCUCAGUUGCAACUUUUCAAAAUGGUGUUUCUGGAAAAUAACAAAUUCAGACUCAACUGGUGACAGCUUUUGGCUAUAGAGAAUGAAACUGCUUCCCUUUGGCGGUGGAACUCUUAAACUUCGAAGAGUGAAAGAAUACAAUGAAAUAAAAUGCCAUAAGAUCACUGGAUUUUUCAGAAAAAGGAAGACCCCAAAUUACUCCCAAAAUGAGGCUUUGUAAAUUCUUGUUAAAAAUCUUUAAAUCUCGAAUUUCCCCCUACAACAUCUGAUGAGUGCUUUAAGAGCAAACGAGCAAAUCCCACCUCGAGAAUCAACAAACCCAAGCUCUGGCCAAGGCUCUCCCCGCGUUUUCUUCUCGUGACCUGGGGAAUGUCCCGCCCCAUCGCUCACCUGGCUCUUGUCAUCUCGCUCAUCUUGAAGUGACCCGUGGACAAUGCUGCUCCCUGCCGCAGCUCCGCCGGUCACUCAGGCAGAACGGGGUAUGCAAAUGGCCUGGAGAGGCCGAGGCCGAACACUGCGCCCAUUGUCCCGGGCGCUCAAAGCGCCGAGCAGCUGCGCAGACUUUCUGGGCUCGGACCCUCGGCCGCCACGCUAAUGUCAUCAUUGCAAAACAUCAGAUUUUGAGAACUAUGCAGUCUGAAUUCAUUAGCAGCCUUCUCGGCGAAGGUUCUUUUCCCCGUGACAAGUUUCAAAGUCCAGACCCCCUCCAACGUUGGUAGGGGUAGGAAGAGGAGGAGGGGCCCAGGGAGGGGGGUCUUUCGCAAGUGGGGCCUCGGGGGAUCCCUGCUCUCCUUCUGGUGCAUUCCGCAACUUUAAAAGCCUUCCUUGGGGUUCUGAGCGCGGAUGUCUGACUUGAAUGACCUGAGAUUUGGACAUAUUCCCGUUUUCUCCCAAGAGUUGCUUUAAUGUUGCGAGUUUAAAUUCACUGAAAGAGGCCCAGAUACCAAGUCGAGUGAAUUUCAUAGACAUCAUCUUCUGUUUUAAUGAUCGCGGCAGUGAUCGUUUCUGAAGUCAUACCCUUUAGGGUGAACUCACAACAAUGCAUGUCAGAGAGGCUGCGCGCCCUAAAGCAAAACAGUUAAAACAUCAGGCCACGCUCCUCAAACUGCAGGAUUGCAAGCAGCUCACAAACUUCCAGUCCCCACCCCAAGGACUCCAAGCUGCUGUCCCCUCUCUGCCGCAUCUGAGGCUGGGAAAACUUCCUAGGAGAAGGCAAGAGAAAGCCACCAGACCAGAGCCGAGGACUAAACUUUAAGGUCGAAGACGGCAGAGGGGCAGGUUCUCCCCUGCACACCCCAAGGCCUCUCCUGCACCCGCGAGGCCUUCCUUGAGCGCCCAGGCCCCCGAAAUGCCUGCCCUCCUUCUGACAAAAGGAGGGGGUAGGAUGUGAAGGGGUAGUGCAACCAACAAUGUUUUUGUAAACACAACAACAGGGAAAUACAUGGAGGAAAUCU
rnacentral:lncRNA from 1 species